UAGGUUUAAUUUUCCGAUUUCCUUAAUCUUUCCCCGAUUCUUAUUCUUCCUCCCCGAUUCCCUCUGCCCGAAACCCCUCCCUCUCCGGCGAUUUCUCUCCCUACGAAGGCAAGCGCGCCACCGUCCGCCGGUGUAAACCUGAUCGAGCCUCUCAUCUCCCGAUUCUCUCUUCUUUCCUUUCCCUCCGUUGCAUAGACGACCCAUUCCUGUUUUCUUCCUCUUCUCUCUCACGCAGACGACCCGACGCCGACGGCGAGGGUUUUUCCACCGCAAUCCUGCCUUCAUGAGUCGUUGGAGAGGAAGUGGCGUUGGAUCUCGACGGGCACGGCGGAGAGGAGUCUAAUAGCAUCGUCCUCGGCUGAUCAAGUCAUGCCCGAUUCUCAUUCUCGAUCGAUUCACUGGAGUACAUUCCGAAUCUCCGAAUGCUGGAUUGGAUUAGACGACAUCCUCGGAGGUGACUGGUCAAGGAGGAGGAGUUGGAUCAGUAUGGUGGAUUUUCCCCUGUGCCAACCACUAUCCUUCUCCAAUUCUUAUGGCUUCGGUCUUGGGUAGCUCUCGGGUGAAGAGGAAUUCUUGGUGGUUGUGUGUAGAGAUUAGUAGAGGGCUGUUGAGCUACUGGAUUUGUUGCCUUCCUCAAGGUAGCUUGUAGAUGGUUGGUGUGUCGCUUGGAGUAUCCUGUCUGCCGGGUCCUACGUCACAU